AUUGAACGCUGGCGGCAGGCCUAACACAUGCAAGUCGAACGGUAACAGGAAACAGCUUGCUGUUUCGCUGACGAGUGGCGGACGGGUGAGUAAUGUCUGGGAAACUGCCUGAUGGAGGGGGAUAACUACUGGAAACGGUAGCUAAUACCGCAUAACGUCGCAAGACCAAAGAGGGGGACCCUCGGGUCUCUUGCCAUCGGAUGUGCCCAGAUGGGAUUAGCUUGUUGGUGGGGUAACGGCUCACCAAGGCGACGAUCCCUAGCUGGUCUGAGAGGAUGACCAGCCACACUGGAACUGAGACACGGUCCAGACUCCUACGGGAGGCAGCAGUGGGGAAUAUUGCACAAUGGGCGCAAGCCUGAUGCAGCCAUGCCGCGUGUAUGAAGAAGGCCUUCGGGUUGUAAAGUACUUUCAGCGGGGAGGAAGGGAGUAAAGUUAAUACCUUGGCUCAUUGACGUUACCCGCAGAAGAAGCACCGGCUAACUCCGUG
rnacentral:rRNA from 1 species